AAAAUGCUACUAAAAUGACAGCAAAGAAGCCAAAAAGGCCCAAGUCUACAAGACAGAAAGAAUAGGUGAAAAGUCCAUGUCAUCUCAUUUUUGGAGAUGGACAUGGACAGGGGCUGAAACUGCAGUAUCAGCAGAUGGGGAGCUUAAGAAGGAAGUUAGUUCAUGGUAAAGCACAGCACAAAGUCCCCAGAAUUGGAGGCACCAGAUUCUUCUGAAAGAGAAGGAGCAGUUCAGCACUUGGCAGGGAGACAAGAGUUCAACACCCCAGGACAGAGUGAAAACCUAAGGCUUCACAAACCCACACUUGUGCGAGUCCAGCUGUCUGUGGUCUAGACUGUCAAGGAACAUAUCUGAUUCUGAGAUGCUCAGGAAAGUGUGCUCCCAACUGGCCCUUAUCCAGACUAAUUUACUUGCUGAGUAUCCCCAGGGCACAGGGACAAUCAUUUGGGGUUGCGGCUUUGUUCAUAAGGUCAUCAAGACAGGAGGAUAUGAGGCAGAAUCACCACAUAAGCUAACCUGAUGUACAUAUGACAUUAAUCCAAUAGACUUGGGAAUAAGGUACAGGGGGCUUUCCUGAAUGAUUCAAGUAUAUCCCCAUUCAUAUUAAGAAAACAAAGUAUUGGCCAGGCGUGGUGGCUCACGCCUGUAAUCCCAGCACUUUGGGAGGCCGAGGCCAGCGGAUCACCUGAGAUGGACUCAACGACUCUCUUACCGUCCAGCUCUCAAGUCCCUUCUCUUGUGAAAAUGGAAAAGUUGAACUACAGUUGAGAUAUUAUUCCCAGGUGUUCUUUGGAACACAGGGGAUUUCUCCAAAAGACACAGAACAAAUUGUCUCCAAACAGCCGAGAUUCCAGCAGAAGCCGGAGUAGCAGACUACUUGGAUCUUCGAAGUACCUGGCCCUGAGUCAGUUAAGGAAGAUCGUUUCUUCUCUUUUGUACAAUCCUAUCAUGAGAGCUGCGAAGUGAACUAAGAGCUUCUGCCUUCAUCAUUGACCUCCCAAUCCUAAUAAUAUGUUCACUGGCCAACUUCCUAGUCAAUUUGUCUUUUUGGAUAUAAUGUUCCUCUACUGUUUGCCUGAUUGAGAAAUCUGCUACAGAACAUGACCAGUUAGCAUUCCCACCAACCCCAGUGCUACACUGACUGUCUUUCGAUGGACUUUCCUCCUUGCUGCCUGUCUGAGGUCCCAGACCUUCAGAGUGACCCUCACAGCACUGCCUAAGUUUCCAUCAUACUUCUGUCAAGAGAGACAGCUAAAUCAAUAUUUUUAAUGUGCUUUGCUGCCAGAAUUCGAUGAUCUGUCACAGUUCUUGCCUAAUACACCCAAUCAUUAUUGUUAAAAUGUUUUUUAGCUUUGUUUGUAGAAUUGCUUUAACUGGUUCCAUCUCUGGGAGCUACACUUUGAAAUAUAACUUUAGCAACAUUUUACUAUACUUUUUCACAACCCAGAGCAGUACUAUUUUAUGCUUAGUGGUUAAUCUAAUUCCAUAAAUCUUUUGCAACUAUCCUCUAUUCUUUUUCUUGUAAUUUCUACCUGGGAAGGUUUUUACUGAUAAUCAUCCUAUCCUGAGUCAUCCCACAAACCAAUCUGUCUCUAAUCAUUGCUUCUAACCUACAGACUAAGCAUAACUUCGGCUAAAUGAUCUUUGAUAAGAUGCUAUGACUCUAUAAAGUCUUUGAUAUUCAUGUCUAAAUUUAAUCAAUCACUUGUAGAUUUUCAUAGAAUCAAUCUUUCACUUCUACAAUUGGGAGUAUUUGUAAGUUGUUUAUCUUAAACAGUUCCUCUAUCAUGCUUUUCACUUAAAUAAAGCAACCCCUUCAAAUCAA